UAUGAGCGCAAGUUUUCGCUCAUAGACAUCAGUUUUUUUAGCCGAUGUCUAUGAGCGCCUUUUUUUCAUUAAUAGGCAUUGAUUUUAACAGUAGUUUUUAAAACCCGGUGUCUAUGAUAGCUUCAUUGUUCUAUCUACGAAAUCAGAUAGUAAAAAACCGUUGUUAAAAGUGGUGUUAAUCAAUCAAAAUAAAAUAAUUUAAUUUUCCCACCAAUACUUAGUCAAAAUUUGCAACACUUCACUCUUCCCUCCAAACCUAAACCUAUAUCACGCCGUCCAUAGUAUACCGUCGCGACGCCACCACCACUUUCCUCCUCGCUGCUGGCUGUCCGACCAUUCCUCUCAGCCUCAUCUCCCUCUUCCCCUUCCUAGAUCAACACCCCUUCCUCUCCCGAUCAAGAUCAAUACACGACUCCCUUGCUUCUCCGUCCAAUCACACAGCAUCUCCUCCAACUCCUCCCUUUGGGUGAGAAGAGGAGCCCUUCUUCGCAUUCCAGGUUUUGUUCUCCUCUUUUUACUCGACGAAGUUCUUGCCGUCGACGGCCAAUACAUGAGCAUCACCCAGUCCACGCCUCCUGCUACACCUUUGGUGCUGCUCUAGCUCGUUAGCCCCCAUCCCAGGCAUAGACUUCAUCAUCCAAGUGCCCAACUCAGGAUUCUUUGCGGCACUCGGCUGCCUCGGCCUCAUCUCGGCUGUCAACAACCACAUAAAAGGUUUUAGUGCCUCCUUCAUCUCCCCUAAAUAAUCUGCCCACUUUCUGUUUGAUCAUGUUCUUAUACACCAAACUCUCUUUUCUCAAGAUCUACCGAUCCUGCUAUUGCUUCUUCUCGAUCAACCAACAUUCUAAACCACAAAUAUACUCAAAAUCCAAACUUUGCAGUUAUAAUCAAGUAAUUCCAAUGUUUUAUCACUUUGAAGAAUAUUAUCAAAAUCCGGCACUUCCUUUCACUAUACCAACCACACAAAUCACUCACUCAAUUCCAGUUCAUAUUCUUACUAGAAUUAUAGUGGCAAAAACAUAAAAAAAAUAUUUGCAGGGACAUUUUCUGAUUGGGGUUCAGCUAAACAAGUUGUGCUUCGUUGGUCUUGGUUUAUCAUAUACCAUAUAGAAGUUGCAUUGGUGGUUAUAAGCUGAUCUAAGUGAAACAUGAUGUGUUUGUUCUUUUUUCUAUCAAUAUUUGUAUUUAUGCAAUGCAUUUUAAUUGGAUAGACCAAAAUAGGUAUUCUAUCUAUUUUAUCUUUUGUACCUGUGUAAAUAUGGAGACUGGCAUAAGUUAGACAUGUUAUCUUUUGUUACGUUUCCAUAGUUUUAAUUAUAGUGCUUUGAUGCUUUUCUAUUGAUAGACAUUUUAUCUCUGACCACAGUUUGCUAUUUAUCACAUUUCUUUUCUUUUAGAUUAAAAAGUCAAUGGUUUUAACAACUAAUUCUGCAAAUACAAAGAAUGCAUCUGGUGGUCAAAUCGUAGCCAAUUCGAAAGCUCACAUGGCUAAGGUAGCAUUGAAGGAACACUUGGUUCUAACUUUGUUUAGAGAUGAGUAUGAUCUAUUACAUGAAGAUUAUCAGCUUUAUCUUCUUCCAAGCAUUUUGGAAUCCAAAAAGUUAGCUAAAUUUGGAUGAGCGAAACAAAAGUAUGCAAAUUUGGAAUAUAAUGUGGCAAAACAAGUUGAGAAGAUGAUAAGGUGCCGAAUGAAGUUAAGAACAUGAUAUGAGAAUCCAUCAAUGUAAGUAACAUGAUACUUUCUUAUGUGAUGCAUUUUUUUUCUUUUCUUUUAUUUAUUUACUUAAGAUAUUUGUUUGUGUAGUUGACAUACCAACUGGACCCUAAAGAAAAAUUGUUGCAUUUUCCAACACUACUUCUGUAUCAUAAUUGAUUUGAUAUAAAACAAACUCAUAUUUGAUUUGAUUGAUUAUGAACUUCUCUUAGCUUUUCCCUCAUUAUAUCAGAUCUUGCUACUGCUAUGCUUUUCCCCUGGUGCUUGAUGUAUAACUUCUCUUAUGUGAGAUGAACAAGUAGAUAGAUCUCUUUUAGAUAUUCGUUGCUUCAAUUGUUGCACUUGGGGUUUAUGAUCUAAUCUUUCAUUUGAUUUCCUCUAGUUCUACAAAGUUUCUGUGGUUGAAAGAAUUGUCUUGAAUUUGUCGAGUUUGUUCUUAGAAAUGAUUUCAUAAGCCUAGCUCGAAGAGGAUAAAGUUUGAAAUUUGUGUUGACUAGUUUGCAUUUUAGAUAUUUCCCCCUUGAAAUAAAAACUUGUUUUAAUGUUAUUGUAUCAUUGGAAAUCAUAUAAAUGAAUUGAUGUUACUCAUCUUUAUUGGUCCAUGUACUCUUAGUGAUAAAAGUGAAUUUAAUAUUUGCAAACUAAAUGUGAAUUUAUUUACUUUCCAUGUACUCUUAGUGAUAAACAGUUAUGUCAUUUGGGUCGACUACUAAUGAAUUGAAUUUGAAAAUUUAAAAUUGCUUUAUGUAGUUGGAUUCUUUUAAAUUUUUAAUCAAGGUGAUUUAUUAUCCCCUGUCGGUGAUUUGUCAUCAGCCAAUGUGAUUUAGGCUUCAUAGUUAAUUAUCUUGGAAUACAACUAAAUUUAUACCCGAACAAAAUACAUAUAGCCCCUCUAGCUGAUGACCAAAACUAUAAAUCUUGUAAGAAUAUCCAUAUCAGCAAUAAUUCUAGUGAAGAAUGGCUUACAGUUCAAUAUUCAACUUGUGAAGAACUGGUGUCUAAUACUAAGGUUAUAAAUUGCAUAUAUUUCAACAAAUAACCUUUUUUUAUAGUGUUUUAGAUAUUCAGACUCGGUGAAAUUUGUUUUUGUUUGUAUCUUUCUGCUUGUACAUACAGUAAGUCAUAGAUAAGUACUGAUUAAUUAAAUUGCAACUAUGAGAAAACUUCGUUGUAAUAAUUUUUGGUUUGGAUUAUAUUAAGUUCCCAGGAAUGAUAGAUCUAUCACUAUAU